ACGAACGCUGGCGGCGUGCUUAACACAUGCAAGUCGAACGAAGAGCGAUGGAAGCUUGCUUCUAUCAAUCUUAGUGGCGAACGGGUGAGUAACGCGUAAUCAACCUGCCCUUCAGAGGGGGACAACAGUUGGAAACGACUGCUAAUACCGCAUACGAUCUAACCUCGGCAUCGAGGAUAGAUGAAAGGUGGCCUCUACAUGUAAGCUAUCACUGAAGGAGGGGAUUGCGUCUGAUUAGCUAGUUGGAGGGGUAACGGCCCACCAAGGCGAUGAUCAGUAGCCGGUCUGAGAGGAUGAACGGCCACAUUGGGACUGAGACACGGCCCAGACUCCUACGGGAGGCAGCAGUGGGGAAUCUUCCGCAAUGGACGAAAGUCUGACGGAGCAACGCCGCGGGAGUGAUGACGGCCUUCGGGUUGUAAAGCUCUGUUAAUCGGGACGAAAGGCCUUCUUGCGAAUAGUGAGAAGGAUUGACGGUACCGGAAUAGAAAGCCACGGCUAACUACGUG
rnacentral:rRNA from 1 species